UUUUAUUUUGAAGUUUCGAUCGUGACUUCAUUUUCUUCCGUUGCGCUCGCCAUUCCUCACUUGUUGUUUUAAUGCUGUGAGGAGGUGAGUGUUUUUCCUCUGCUCUGUGCAGCUUUCUGUUCUAAAAUUGUUCAUGAGAAAAUAACCAGUGUAAACGGUGAGAUUAUGUUAUGGUGUGAUUCUGUGCUUGUUGGUGUUGUUCAUGUGUUCCUGUGUAUUUGUUUUGCAAGAGUUUUGAGUGUUUUAGCGAACUAUUUAGCUAGCGCACUGUUUAGCAGCACUUGAGGAUACACACACAGUGACGGCAGCCUGUUCAUUGUUCGUUUCCCGCCAUUUCAGAUUGACGUGCUGCAGUGUCCUGUGUACUAAUGCUGCUGCAUUAUUUGUGCAUUUAUUUCAUUCAGGUAUGUUAAUGUUGCUCCCAUGUUGUACUUUAUUUUAAUAUAAAAUAUUAAUUAGCUGGUGGUGUAUAGUUUUCAGGUGGAUUUGAAUUUGUGUGUCUGUAUUGUGAACUUUUGUGACUUCAUAUAUUUGAAUAUAUGUAUUGUAAGGCACUUCUGGCCAGGCUGACUUGUUGUUUUAAUGCUGUGAGGAGAUUGACGUGCUGCAGUGUCCUGUGUACUAAUGCUGCUGCAUUAUUUGUGCAUUUAUUUCAUUCAGAAAUAAAUACGCCACUGUCGCUACAGUUCGGCCAAAGUGACACACCAAGUCCCUGUGUCCUACUCCAUUUCACAACACACAACGCAGAGCCAGACCGGUUACAUUGGUGCCGUGACCCGGAUUGAUGUCGUGGACCAACACCAGCUUGGUCACCGGAGGUUGUUGGACGACAGAACAAUGACGAACGAAAAAAAAGAUUGACGUGCUGCAGUGUCCUGUGUACUAAUGCUGCUGCAUUAUUUGUGCAUUUAUUUCAUUCAGGUAUGUUAAUGUUGCUCCCAUGUUGUACUUUAUUUUAAUAUAAAAUAUUAAUUAGCUGGUGGUGUAUAGUUUUCAGGUGGAUUUGAAUUUGUGUGUCUGUAUUGUGAACUUUUGUGACUUCAUAUAUUUGAAUAUAUGUAUUGUAAGGCACUUCUGGCCAGGCUGACUUGUUGUUUUAAUGCUGUGAGGAGAUUGACGUGCUGCAGUGUCCUGUGUACUAAUGCUGCUGCAUUAUUUGUGCAUUUAUUUCAUUCAGAAAUAAAUACGCCACUGUCGCUACAGUUCGGCCAAAGUGACACACCAAGUCCCUGUGUCCUACUCCAUUUCACAACACACAACGCAGAGCCAGACCGGUUACAUUAGCAAAUCGAAAAAAUGCAGAGGCCCGGCAGACUGGAGGGGGUCCACCACCUGCAGCCCUCACAGAGGCUGAGGAGAUGGCCCUCAGCCAACAGAGUAUGCGUCCUGUGGCUGAGGGCAUCCCUGGGGGGAGCUCCUCUGAUCGCCCCCACCCCCCAGGAUAGAAGUGCCUUUACAGUAUAAGAGUUACUGAUGGCGUCAUCGCCCUACUUGAACCAGAUGCCCUCACCAACCUCCAUGCAAUUGUAACAAUUCAAAAGAUGCAAAAGGAUGCUUUGGAGAUCCAAAUUUCGGAACAUAAGUUAUAGGUGGGUGAGGUGCAAACUGGGAUAGGCUACUGUUCCCUGCUCUAAAAACAUACCCAAUAUAAAUGACUUUUUUUUUUUUGUGCUUUCAGGAAAUAAAAUAAUCCUCAUAAUAAGUAGAUUGUCUUUAUUAGAACACGGGCUGUGGUGGGACAAGUUAUUUUGUUGAACAGUUUACUCAAAGGGUUUUACUUCAGUGAACAAUGCAGACGAUUAUGCUGAGCAUGUGCAUGUAGAGAAGAACAGCAUCUGGUUAAAAGCAGUACCAGGGUCUUUUCUGCCUUGCAUUCUUAAAAUGAGUUU